rnacentral:rRNA from 1 species
GGUUAAGCGACUAAGCGUACACGGUGGAUGCCCUGGCAGUCAGAGGCGAUGAAGGACGUGCUAAUCUGCGAAAAGCGUCGGUAAGGUGAUAUGAACCGUUAUAACCGGCGAUGUCCGAAUGGGGAAACCCAGUGCAAUUCGUUGCACUAUCGUUAACUGAAUACAUAGGUUAACGAGGCGAACCGGGGGAACUGAAACAUCUAAGUACCCCGAGGAAAAGAAAUCAACCGAGAUUCCCCCAGUAGCGGCGAGCGAACGGGGAGCAGCCCAGAGUCUGAAUCAGCUUGUGUGUUAGUGGAACGGUCUGGAAAGUCCGACGGUACAGGGUGAUAGUCCCGUACACCAAAAUGCACAGGCUGUGAACUCGAAGAGUAGGGCGGGACACGUGGUAUCCUGUCUGAAUAUGGGGGGACCAUCCUCCAAGGCUAAAUACUCCUGACUGACCGAUAGUGAACCAGUACCGUGAGGGAAAGGCGAAAAGAACCCCGGCGAGGGGAGUGAAAAAGAACCUGAAACCGUGUACGUACAAGCAGUGGGAGCACCUUCGGGUGUGACUGCGUACCUUUUGUAUAAUGGGUCAGCGACUUAUAUUCUGUAGCAAGGUUAACCGUAUAGGGGAGCCGCAGGGAAACCGAGUCUUAACUGGGCGUUAAGUUGCAGGGUAUAGACCCGAAACCCGGUGAUCUAGCCAUGGGCAGGUUGAAGGUUGGGUAACACUAACUGGAGGACCGAACCGACUAAUGUUGAAAAAUUAGCGGAUGACUUGUGGCUGGGGGUGAAAGGCCAAUCAAACCGGGAGAUAGCUGGUUCUCCCCGAAAGCUAUUUAGGUAGCGCCUCGUGAACUCAUCUUCGGGGGUAGAGCACUGUUUCGGCUAGGGGGUCAUCCCGACUUACCAACCCGAUGCAAACUACGAAUACCGAAGAAUGUUAUCACGGGAGACACACGGCGGGUGCUAACGUCCGUCGUGAAGAGGGAAACAACCCAGACCGCCAGCUAAGGUCCCAAAGUCAUGGUUAAGUGGGAAACGAUGUGGGAAGGCACAGACAGCCAGGAUGUUGGCUUAGAAGCAGCCAUCAUUUAAAGAAAGCGUAAUAGCUCACUGGUCGAGUCGGCCUGCGCGGAAGAUGUAACGGGGCUAAACCAUGCACCGAAGCUGCGGCAGCGACACUAUGUGUUGUUGGGUAGGGGAGCGUUCUGUAAGCCUGCGAAGGUGACCUGUGAGGGUUGCUGGAGGUAUCAGAAGUGCGAAUGCUGACAUAAGUAACGAUAAAGCGGGUGAAAAGCCCGCUCGCCGGAAGACCAAGGGUUCCUGUCCAACGUUAAUCGGGGCAGGGUGAGUCGACCCCUAAGGCGAGGCCGAAAGGCGUAGUCGAUGGGAAACAGGUUAAUAUUCCUGUACUUGGUGUUACUGCGAAGGGGGGACGGAGAAGGCUAUGUUAGCCGGGCGACGGUUGUCCCGGUUUAAGCAUGUAGGCUGAUUGUCCAGGCAAAUCCGGAUAAUCAAGGCUGAGGUGUGAUGACGAGGCACUACGGUGCUGAAGUAACAAAUGCCCUGCUUCCAGGAAAAGCCUCUAAGCAUCAGGUAACAUUAAAUCGUACCCCAAACCGACACAGGUGGUCAGGUAGAGAAUACCAAGGCGCUUGAGAGAACUCGGGUGAAGGAACUAGGCAAAAUGGUGCCGUAACUUCGGGAGAAGGCACGCUGGUGUGUAGGUGAAGUCCCUGCGGAUGGAGCUGAGACCAGUCGAAGAUACCAGCUGGCUGCAACUGUUUAUUAAAAACACAGCACUGUGCAAACACGAAAGUGGACGUAUACGGUGUGACGCCUGCCCGGUGCCGGAAGGUUAAUUGAUGGGGUUAUCCGUAAGGAGAAGCUCUUGAUCGAAGCCCCGGUAAACGGCGGCCGUAACUAUAACGGUCCUAAGGUAGCGAAAUUCCUUGUCGGGUAAGUUCCGACCUGCACGAAUGGCGUAAUGAUGGCCAGGCUGUCUCCACCCGAGACUCAGUGAAAUUGAACUCGCUGUGAAGAUGCAGUGUACCCGCGGCAAGACGGAAAGACCCCGUGAACCUUUACUAUAGCUUGACACUGAACAUUGAGCCUUGAUGUGUAGGAUAGGUGGGAGGCUUUGAAGCGUGGACGCCAGUCUGCGUGGAGCCAACCUUGAAAUACCACCCUUUAAUGUUUGAUGUUCUAACGUUGGCCCCUUAUCGGGGUUGCGGACAGUGUCUGGUGGGUAGUUUGACUGGGGCGGUCUCCUCCCAAAGCGUAACGGAGGAGCACGAAGGUUAGCUAAUCCUGGUCGGACAUCAGGAGGUUAGUGCAAUGGCAUAAGCUAGCUUGACUGCGAGCGUGACGGCGCGAGCAGGUGCGAAAGCAGGUCAUAGUGAUCCGGUGGUUCUGAAUGGAAGGGCCAUCGCUCAACGGAUAAAAGGUACUCCGGGGAUAACAGGCUGAUACCGCCCAAGAGUUCAUAUCGACGGCGGUGUUUGGCACCUCGAUGUCGGCUCAUCACAUCCUGGGGCUGAAGUAGGUCCCAAGGGUAUGGCUGUUCGCCAUUUAAAGUGGUACGCGAGCUGGGUUUAGAACGUCGUGAGACAGUUCGGUCCCUAUCUGCCGUGGGCGCUGGAGAAUUGAGGGGGGCUGCUCCUAGUACGAGAGGACCGGAGUGGACGCAUCACUGGUGUUCGGGUUGUCAUGCCAAUGGCACUGCCCGGUAGCUAAAUGCGGAAGAGAUAAGUGCUGAAAGCAUCUAAGCACGAAACUUGCCCCGAGAUGAGUUCUCCCUGAGACUUUAAGUCUCCUGAAGGAACGUUAAAGACGAUGACGUUGAUAGGCCGGGUGUGUAAGCGCAGCGAUGCGUUGAGCUAACCGGUACUAAUGAACCGUGAGGCUUAACCUU